AUUUUAGUUUCUUAUUGAGAAAUCUUUGCAGCGCCAAGAAAUCUGUAAUGUUCAGGUUGAUAAUAAUAAGUUUCUUACUUCAACACCAAAUAAAAUUUCUACCUACAAAUUAAAAUUACGGGCUAGAAAAGAAAUUCCAGCUUCUCCAUUGAAUGAAACAGAAAAUGCAGAGACCAGUGCUGAAGAAGACCUUGGCUUAGAAAUACAUUCAAUUAAU